GACGAACGCGGCGGCGUGCCUAAUACAUGCAAGUCGAACGCUUUUUCUUUCACCGGAGCUUGCUCCACCGAAAGAAAAAGAGUGGCGAACGGGUGAGUAACACGUGGGUAACCUGCCCAUCAGAAGGGGAUAACACUUGGAAACAGGUGCUAAUACCGUAUAACACUAUUUUCCGCAUGGAAGAAAGUUGAAAGGCGCUUUUGCGUCACUGAUGGAUGGACCCGCGGUGCAUUAGCUAGUUGGUGAGGUAACGGCUCACCAAGGCAACGAUGCAUAGCCGACCUGAGAGGGUGAUCGGCCACACUGGGACUGAGACACGGCCCAGACUCCUACGGGAGGCAGCAGUAGGGAAUCUUCGGCAAUGGACGAAAGUCUGACCGAGCAACGCCGCGUGAGUGAAGAAGGUUUUCGGAUCGUAAAACUCUGUGUUAGAGAAGAACAAGGAUGAGAGUAAAACGUUCAUCCCUUGACGGAUCUAA
rnacentral:rRNA from 1 species